rnacentral:rRNA from 1 species
GACGAACCGUGCGAACGUUAUUCGGAAUCACUGGGCUUAAAGCGCGUGUAGGCGGGACGGCACGUCCGACGCUGAAAUCCCCCGGCUCAACCGGGGAACGGGUGCGGAUACGACCGCCCUGGAGGGGCGUAGGGGGACCUGGAACUUCCGGUGGAGCGGUGAAAUGCGUUGAGAUCGGAAGGAACGCCCGUGGCGAAAGCGACGUACUGGACCUCUUCUGACGCUGAGGCGCGAAAGCUAGGGGAGCAAACGGG